GAUGAACGCUAGCGGCAGGCUUAACACAUGCAAGUCGAGGGGCAGCGGGUUUGUAGCAAUACAGAUGCCGGCGACCGGCGCAAGGGUGCGUAACGCGUGAGCGACAUGCCCGUCUCAGGGGGAUAAUCCGGAGAAAUCCGGUCUAAUACCCCAUGGUCCCGUUGGGAUGCAUGUCCUGAUGGGUAAAGAUACGUCGGAGACGGAUUGGCUCGCGUGACAUUAGCUGGACGGCGGGGUAACGGCCCACCGUGGCUACGAUGUCUAGGGGAACUGAGAGGUUGGUCCCCCACACUGGAACUGAGACACGGUCCAGACUCCUACGGGAGGCAGCAGUGAGGAAUAUUGGACAAUGGGCGGAAGCCUGAUCCAGCCAUGCCGCGUGAAGGAUUACGGUCCUAUGGAUUUUAAACUUCUUUUGCACGGGAGCAAUAAGGGUCACGCGUGGCCCGAUGAGAGUACCGUGCGAAUAAGCAUCGGCUAACUCCGUGCCAGCAGCCGCGGUAAUACGGAGGAUGCGAGCGUUAUCCGGAUUCAUUGGGUUUAAAGGGUGCGUAGGCGGUGGCGUAAGUCAGCGGUGAAAUUCACGGGCUCAACCCGUGCCGUGCCGUUGAUACUGCGUUGCUGGAGUACUGUCGCCGUGGGAGGAAUGUGUGGUGUAGCGGUGAAAUGCAUAGAUAUCACACAGAACACCGAUUGCGAAGGCAUCUCACGAGGCAGGGACUGACGCUGAUGCACGAAAGUGCGGGGAUCAAACAGGAUUAGAUACCCUGGUAGUCCGCACAGUAAACGAUGAUGACUAGCUGUCGGCGAUAGACAGUCGGUGGCUAAGCGAAAGCGAUAAGUCAUCCACCUGGGGAGUACGACCGCAAGGUUGAAACUCAAAGGAAUUGACGGGGGCCCGCACAAGCGGAGGAACAUGUGGUUUAAUUCGAUGAUACGCGAGGAACCUUACCCGGGCUCGAACGGUGCAGGAAGCCUUCAGAGAUGGAGGCGCUCUUCGGAGCCUGUAUCGAGGUGCUGCAUGGUUGUCGUCAGCUCGUGCCGUGAGGUGUCGGCUUAAGUGCCAUAACGAGCGCAACCCUUGCUGACAGUUGCCAUCAGGUAAAGCUGGGGACUCUGUCGGGACUGCCACCGUAAGGUGUGAGGAAGGGGGGGAUGACGUCAAAUCAGCACGGCCCUUAUGUCCGGGGCGACACACGUGUUACAAUGGUGGGUACAGCGGGAAGCUACGCGGCGACGCGGUGCAAAUCUCGAAAACCCAUCCCAGUUCGGAUCGGAGUCUGCAACCCGACUCCGUGAAGUUGGAUUCGCUAGUAAUCGCAGAUCAGCAUGCUGCGGUGAAUACGUUCCCGGGCCUUGUACACACCGCCCGUCACACCACGAAAGUUGGUAACACCCGAAGCCGGUGAGGUAACCUUUCAGGAGCCAGCCGUCUAAGGUGGGGCCGAUGAUUGGGGUGA
rnacentral:rRNA from 1 species